UACGGAGGAUCCAAGCGUUGUCCGGAUUUAUUGGGUUUAAAGGGUGCGUAGGCGGAUAAUUAAGUCAGUGGUGAAAGCCUUCAGCUUAACUGAAGAAUUGCCAUUGAAACUGAUUAUCUUGAAUACGGUUGAGGUAGAUGGAAUGUAUCAUGUAGCGGUGAAAUGCUUAGAUAUGAUACAGAACACCGAUUGCGAAGGCAGUCUACUAAGCCGUGAUUGACGCUGAGGCACGAAAGCGUGGGUAGCAAACAGG
rnacentral:rRNA from 1 species